UGCAAUCUGCUAUGAGAAAUUUGUUAUUCAAUCGUUUCCCGUACAUUAUUCCAUGAUGAAUAUUAGUGUUAUAAAAAAAGACAUCACGCAUGAAAAAAAUGCCAUAAACUCGGCCACGUAUGAUCGUAUGCAAAGAGCCGCGAAGGCAAGAAAGAAGAUCGACGAUCGUAAAGCCCGAGGUUAUUCGAAAUCCAGGCCAGGAGAAAGCAGUGAAAGGACGAUGAGAUUAAAAUUCAAAUUAUAACGCGCGUGUAAAAAAGAUAAAAAUGUAGUCGAAUCGACGACAAAUCAUACGUUCCCGAUUGCAGUUCGAGCUGUCAAACGAGUUUACUCGCGAGGUGAUAUGCAAAAGAGGGACGAGGUCCACGAGCAGUACGAAUACGUUGGCACAAAGGAUGUCAAAGGAAUCCAAUAAACAGCGCGCGAAGGAAUUCGAUUGGCUACAAACUCAGGAUAAAAUUCGCUUAAUGAGGCAGAGUGUGUCGCGGUAGACGGAGGUCGAGGAGCACACGAGGAGAAAAUUCACUUUCCGUAUUAGAAUGGUUAUGGAAAAAAA